AAGGACGAUGAAAAAAAAAAUGAGGAAGGAGACAAGUAAAAAGAAAAAAAAAAUCAAAAGAGAUGAAGUAAUUUCUUUUGUCUUUUCUUUUUUUUUUUUUUACCUCAUGUAACC
rnacentral:ribozyme from 1 species